UGUGUACAUGACUGUAAAUCACCUUGGAUUAAAGUGUCUGCUAAAUGGCAUAAA
rfam:Salmo salar isolate Sally breed double haploid chromosome ssa29, whole genome shotgun sequence.